UAACACGUGGGUAACCUGCCUCAUAGAGUGGAAUAGCCUUCCGAAAGGAAGAUUAAUACCGCAUAACGUUGAAAGAUGGCAUCAUCAUUCAACCAAAGGAGCAAUCCGCUAUGAGAUGGACCCGCGGCGCAUUAGCUAGUUGGUGGGGUAACGGCCUACCAAGGCGACGAUGCGUAGCCGACCUGAGAGGGUGAUCGGCCACAUUGGGACUGAGACACGGCCCAG
rnacentral:rRNA from 1 species